ensembl:ncRNA ZK377.10 ncRNA
UAGUAGUCCCGCCGUCCUUUGUGUUCGUGUACGACGACGUCAUAUGGUGCUUUUGGCGGAGAAUGGUGGAUGAGUUAUGAGAGACCGACAAAAAGGCAUCCACGGCAGGUUUCGAGGAAUCACAA